GAUGAAGAACGUAGCGAAAUGCGAUAAGUAAUGUGAAUUGCAGAAUUCAGUGAAUCAUCGAAUCUUUGAACGCACCUUGCGCCCUUUGGCUAUUCCGAAGGGCAUGCCUGUUUGAGUAUCGUGAACACCUCAACUCUCAUGGUUUGCCAUGAUGAGCUUGGACUUUGGGGGUUUUGCUGGCUUUUGGUCGGCUCCUCUCAAACGGAUCAGCUUUCCAGUGUUUGGUGGCGUCACGGGUGUGAUAACUAUCUACGCCUGUGGUUUUAUGCCAGAUAACCUUCAGCGAUGGAGGUUCGCUGGGGCUCAUAAAUGUCUCUCUUCAGUGGAGACAGCUUUUUGGACGUUUGAUCUCAAAUCAGGUAGGACUACCCGCUGAACUUAAGCAUAUCAAUAAGCGGAGGA
rnacentral:misc_RNA from 1 species